GACGAACGCUGGCGGCAUGCCUAAUACAUGCAAGUCGAGCGAACGGAUGAAGUGCUUGCACUUCUGACGUUAGCGGCGAACGGGUGAGUAACACGUAAGGAAUCUACCUAUAAGCGGGGGAUAACAUUCGGAAACGGGUGCUAAUACCGCAUAAUAUCUUCUUCCGCAUGGAAGAAGAUUGAAAGACGGCUCUGCUGUCACUUAUAGAUGACCUUGCGGUGCAUUAGUUAGUUGGUGGGGUAAUGGCCUACCAAGACGAUGAUGCAUAGCCGAGCGGAGAGGGUGAUCGGCCGAAUUGGGACUGAGACCCGGCCCAAACUCCGACGGGAGGCAGCGGUAGGGAAUCUUCCGCAAUGGGCGAAAGCCGGACGGAGCAAGGCCGCGUGAGGGAAGAAGGCCUUCGGGUCGUAAAACUCUGUUAUAAGAGAAGAACAAAUUGUAGAGUAACUGCUACAGUCUUGACGGUAUCUUAUCAGAAAGCCACGGCUAACUACGUGCCAGCCGCCGCCGUAA
rnacentral:rRNA from 1 species